rnacentral:tRNA from 1 species
GGUUAUGGCUCAGCGGUAGAACACUCGCCUAGCAUGUGUGAGGCCCUGGGUUUGACCCUCAGCACCA